UGAUCUGCUGCUGCUGAUCCCUUCCCAAACCCUGCAAUCCCAACCAGAAGGAAGCCGGUUCCUGCAGGCUAUAGAAUACCAGAAAAGAUAACUGCGAGACGCAAUCUCCUUUUUCUUUUUCCUCGGUGCCACUUUAUCUGGGCGUUUGUGACUACGCAGCCAUCCUCACUGCACGCGCUGCCAGAGCAGAAAGGGCUUUUUUAUGCUGUGGAGCCAAAGGGGUCACGCUGCGGGCAGCUAGCGGACCCCCCAAGAAUUGUUUUCCAGCUCCAUUACUGGAUGUUCCCGUGACUAUAGCUGUGAGCUCAGAACGGCCGCGACUUCCUCUGAAUAGAUUUGUGUGUUCAAAGGACAGGGCCUCAUCCUGUUACACCAUCCUCACAAGGACUGCAUGGCUCACGCUCCCGAGAUGUACAUAGCUGAUAUGAUCUUGUACAGCCCGGAACCACCUGACUAGCAUGUGGAACCCAAGAAGCAUUCUGCAAAUAUUGUUUUCAAUGAAUAAAUGAACUAAUGAACUUUUGCUCUCUUCUGUAAUAACAAUAAAUAUAAUAUCUGA